rnacentral:rRNA from 1 species
AUGUCGGCCACGACGGGGGCGGUGCCGUUCUGGCGAACGGCGGGGAUGACCUACAUCGGCUACUCCAGGCUCUGCGCGUCCAUGGUGCGGAGCUGCCUCAAGGAGCCCUACAAGUCCGAGGCCGCCGAGGUCGAGAAGGUCCACUACUCCCGCUCCAAGUGGUCUGACGGAAAGCAGCCCAAGCCCACCAUCUGCGAAGAUGAUAAAUGA